AACCAGCAUCAAGAGCAGGGUUGACGCCCUCGCCAACCUGCCCUGUCCGGGCAAGGUGGUUCCCGAAAGGGGAUGCGGCCACAAGGCAACAAAGCGGGCCCAU
rnacentral:ncRNA from 1 species